AGUGAACGCUGGCGGUAGGCCUAACACAUGCAAGUCGAACGGCAGCACAGUAAGAGCUUGCUCUUACGGGUGGCGAGUGGCGGACGGGUGAGGAAUACAUCGGAAUCUACUUUUUCGUGGGGGAUAACGUAGGGAAACUGACGCUAAUACCGCAUACGACCUACGGGUGAAAGCAGGGGAUCUUCGGACCUUGCGCGAUUGGAUGGGCCGCGGUCGGCUUAGCUAGUUGGCGGGGUAAAGGCACACCAAGGCGACGAUCCGUAGCUGGUCUGAGAGGGUGAUCAGCCACACUGGAACUGAGACACGGUCCAGACUCCUACGGGAGGCAGCAGUGGGGAAUAUUGGACAAUGGGCGCAAGCCUGAUCCAGCCAUACCGCGUGGGUGAAGAAGGCCUUCGGGUUGUAGAGCCCUUUUGUUGGGAAAGAAAAGCAGCAGGUUAAUACCCCGCGGUUCUGACGGUACCCAAAGAAUAAGCACCGGCUAACUUCGUG
rnacentral:rRNA from 1 species